rnacentral:rRNA from 1 species
UACGUAGGGGGCUAGCGUUGUCCGGAUUCAUUGGGCGUAAAGCGCACGCAGGCGGCUUGGUAAGUCAUCGGUGAAAUCCCUCGGCUCAACCGGGGGGGGUCCGGCGAAACUGCCAGGCUUGAGGUCGGGAGGGGGAAGCGGAAUUCCGGGUGUAGUGGUGGAAUGCGUAGAUAUCCGGAGGAACACCAGUGGCGAAGGCGGCUUCCUGGCCCGAUUCUGACGCUGAGGUGCGAAAGCGUGGGGAGCGAUCCGG